rnacentral:rRNA from 1 species
GACGAACGCUGGCGGCGUGCUUAACACAUGCAAGUCGAACGAUGAAGCCUUCGGGUGGAUUAGUGGCGAACGGGUGAGUAACACGUGGGUGAUCUGCCCUGCACUUUGGGAUAAGCCUGGGAAACUGGGUCUAAUACCGAAUAUGAUCAUGCUCUUCAUGGGGUGUGGUGGAAAGCUUUUGCGGUGUGGGAUGGGCCCGCGGCCUAUCAGCUUGUUGGUGGGGUAAUGGCCUACCAAGGCGACGACGGGUAGCCGGCCUGAGAGGGUGACCGGCCACACUGGGACUGAGAUACGGCCCAGACUCCUACGGGAGGCAGCAGUGGGGAAUAUUGCACAAUGGGCGCAAGCCUGAUGCAGCGACGCCGCGUGAGGGAUGACGGCCUUCGGGUUGUAAACCUCUUUCAGCAGGGACGAAGCGAGAGUGACGGUACCUGCAGAAGAAGCCCCGGCUAACUACGUGCCAGCCGCCGCUGUAAAAC